UAUUGCACAAUGGGGGAAACCCUGAUGCAGCGACGCCGCGUGGGUGAAGAAGUACUUCGGUACGUAAAGCCCUAUCAGCAGGGAAGAAAAUGACGGUACCUGAUUAAGAAGCCCCGGCUAACUACGUGCCAGCAGCCGCGGUAAUACGUAGGGGGCAAGCGUUAUCCGGAUUUACUGGGUGUAAAGGGAGCGUAGACGGCAUUGCAAGUCCGGAGUGAAAGCCCACGGCCCAACCGUGGGACUGCUCUGGAAACUGUAGAGCUGGAGUGCGGGAGGGGCAGGCGGAAUUCCUAGUGUAGCGGUGAAAUGCGUAGAUAUUAGGAGGAACACCGGCGGCGAAGGCGGCCUGCUGGACCGUAACUGACGUUGAGGCUCGAGAGCGUGGGGAGCAAACAGG
rnacentral:rRNA from 1 species